GAUUAACGCUGGCGGCGUGCCUAACACAUGCAAGUCGAGCGGCAGCGCGUUUUACACUGAAUUCUGGAAGCUUCUAGUUGAAAGAGAAGAUUUAUUCAAGAAUUUUGUGUAAAAUGUCGGCGAGCGGCGGACGGCUGAGUAACGCGUGGGAACGUACCCCAAAGUGAGGGAUAACGCAUCGAAAGGUGUGCUAAUACCGCAUAUGGUCUUCGGAUUAAAGCCUUCGGGCGCUUUGGGAACGGCCUGCGUAAGAUUAGAUAGUUGGUGGGGUAAUGGCCUACCAAGUCGACGAUCUGUAACUGGUUUGAGAGGAUGAUCAGUCAGACUGGAACUGAGACACGGUCCAGACUCCUACGGGAGGCAGCAGUGAGGAAUCUUCCACAAUGGGCGAAAGCCUGAUGGAGCAACGCCGCGUGCAGGAUGAAGGCCUUCGGGUUGUAAACUGCUUUUAUAAGUGAGGAUUAUGACAGUAACUUAUGAAUAAGGAUCGGCUAACUACGUG
rnacentral:rRNA from 1 species